rnacentral:rRNA from 1 species
GACGAACGCUGGCGGCGUGCUUAACACAUGUAAGUCGAACGAUGAACCCGGAGCUUGCUCCGGCGGAUUAGUGGCGAACGGGUGAGUAACACGUGAGUAACCUGCCCUUGACUCUGGGAUAACUGCGGGAAACUGUAGCUAAUACCGGAUACGACCCUCGGCGGCAUCGCCAGGGGGUGGAAAGAAUUUCGGUCAAGGAUGGACUCGCGGCCUAUCAGCUAGUUGGUGAGGUAACGGCUCACCAAGGCGACGACGGGUAGCCGGCCUGAGAGGGUGACCGGCCACACUGGGACCGAGAUACGGCCCAGACUCCUACGGGAGGCAGCAGUGGGGAAUAUUGCACAAUGGGCGCAAGCCUGAUGCAGCGACGCCGCGUGAGGGAUGACGGCCUUCGGGUUGUAAACCUCUUUCAGCACCGACGAAGCGCAAGUGGCGGUAGGUGCAGAAGAAGGACCGGCCAACUUCGUGCCAGCCGCCGCAGUAA